rfam:Hordeum vulgare subsp. vulgare, WGS project CAJW01000000 data, contig: morex_contig_39420
AUACUACUCCCUCCGUCCGGAAUUACUUGUCGCAGAAAUGGAUGUAUCUAGAUGUAUUUUUGGUUCUAGAUACAUCCAUUUCUACGACAAGUGAUUCGGGACGGAGGGAGUAUUUG